AAGCCUGACGACGCAACGCCGCGUGGAGGAUGAAGAUCUUCGGGUCGUAAACUCCUGUCGAAUGGGACGAACGCAUCGCGCGUGAACAGCGCGCGAUGGUGACGGUACCGUUAAAGGAAACCCCGGCUAACUCCGUGCCAGCAGCCGCGGUAAUACGGGGGGGGUAAGCGUUGUUCGGAAUUACUGGGCGUAAAGGGCUCGUAGGCGGCCAACUAAGUCAUACGUGAAAUCCCUCAGCUUAACUGGGGAACUGCGUGUGAUACUGGAUGGCUUGGAUUUGGGAGAGGGAUGCGGAAUUCCAGGUGUAGCGGUGAAAUGCGUAGAUAUCUGGAGGAACACCGGUGGCGAAGGCGGCAUCCUGGACCAAUAUUGACGCUGAGGAGCGAAAGCCAGGGGAGCAAACGGGAUUAGAUACCCCGGUAGUCCUGGCCCUAAACGAUGAAUGCUUGGUGUAGCGGGUAUCGAUCCCUGCUGUGCCGAAGCUAACGCAUUAAGCAUUCCGCCUGGGGAGUACGGUCGCAAGGCUGA
rnacentral:rRNA from 1 species